rnacentral:lncRNA from 1 species
AUGAGAGUGCUUUUUAUGUCCACUGCCAGUGAAGCACCCUGUGCCAAGCUGGGCCAUUAUAUGCAAAACCAUGCCCAAAUAAUUGAUCCCCUGCCAUCCAAAUUGCAGAAGUGCUUGAGCAUUUUGUAAUCUUACAGCAAAGGUUUGUAUUCAGAGUGUUUUGAAUGUAUAUUAAAAUAAACUUGACAAUGGGAUACGAAGGCA